GUCCACGCCGUAAACGAUGGCCACUCGGCCUUUGGGGCGGAAUCUCCGUCCGUGGGGGCCUUAGCUAACGCGGGAAGUGGCCCGCCUGGGAACUACGAGCGCAAGCUUAAAACUCAAAGGAAUUGACGGGGCCCGCACAAGCAGCGGAGCGUGUGGUUUAAUUCGACGCAACGCGCAGAACCUUACCCAGGUUUGACAUGGCCCUGCAAGCCGCUGAAAGGCGGUCGCCUUCGAGGGUGGGCCACAGAUGCUGCAUGGCUGUCGU
rnacentral:rRNA from 1 species